AUUUUUUUUUUUAAUUUUUCUCUUCUUCUUCUUCCUUCCAGCCCUCGCGAGCCCUUUUCUUCCCCAACUUUUUUCUGCCAGUCGCUUGAGGUUCGACAGGUCGCCACCGCCUUCUCAUGCCUCAACCUAGCCACGCUUCGUCUUCGUCCGACGUCCAUCGCUCGACCAUUGUUCUCCUGCUUCCAGCCGCGCGAGGAAUCAGUCGCAAGUCUAGCCGCGUCGUGCGACUGCUGCUUUCCACCAGCCACAUCGCGCGUCGACGCUCUUCACCAGCCGAGUUUCUUUAGUUUUUCGUUCUCGUUCUUGCGUCCGCCAUUCGCCAACCUCUUUUGUUCUGCCAAGAACUUGGCUUUUGGAUGCAUUGUUGCUCAAUUCGGGGUUUCAAGAUAUUUUUUCGAUACUGUCCAACAACAUCAAAGUUCACUUUGGGCGCCUUUUGGAUUGAGUUUUAGAACAUUUCAGUUUGGCUUAUGGGUUUGGAUUCCGUACUUGGAGCUCAGGUGUAGUUCUGGUUAAGUCGGCAUUUUUUGGGUAAGUGGUUUGGAGACUUUUGGUGCAUUUUGGGUGAGUUAGGUUGUGUUUAUAAGGAUUGACAUUAAAUUGGUUUAUUCUAGGGCAAUUCGAGCAUUUGACUCAAGUCAAAAAGGGAUUUGAUUGAUAGUUGGAGUUUGGUUUCCUAAU